rnacentral:rRNA from 1 species
UACGAAGGGGGCUAGCGUUGCUCGGAAUUACUGGGCGUAAAGCGCACGUAGGCGGCUUUCUAAGUCGGGUGUGAAAUCUUGGAGCUUAACUCCGAAACUGCAUUCGAUACUGCCGUGCUUGAGGACUGGAGAGGAGACUGGAAUUUACGGUGUAGCGGUGAAAUGCGUAGAUAUCGUAAGGAAGACCAGUGGCGAAGGCGGGUCUCUGGACAGUUCCUGACGCUGAGGCACGAAGGCCAGGGGAGCAAACGGG